CCUACAGGAGGCAGCAGUGAGGAAUAUUGGUCAAUGGGCGAGAGCCUGAACCAGCCAAGUCGCGUGAGGGAAGACGGUCCUAUGGAUUGUAAACCUCUUUUGCCGGGGAGCAAAAAGCGGUACGUGUACCGCAUCGUGAGUACCCGGAGAAAAAGCAUCGGCUAACUCCGUGCCAGCAGCCGCGGUAAUACGUAGGGGGCAAGCGUUAUCCGGAUUUACUGGGUGUAAAGGGAGCGUAGACGGCAGCGCAAGUCUGGAGUGAAAUCCCAUGGCUUAACCAUGGAACUGCUUUGGAAACGGUGCAGCUAGAGUGCAGGAGAGGUAAGCGGAAUUCCUAGUGUAGCGGUGAAAUGCGUAGAUAUUAGGAGGAACACCAGUGGCGAAGGCGGCUUACUGGACUGUAACUGACGUUGAGGCUCGAAAGCGUGGGGAGCAAACAGGAUUAGAUACCCGUGUAGUC
rnacentral:rRNA from 1 species